AGAGGGAGAAUAAGUUUGCUAAAAGGCAAAACAGAGAGGGAGGAUAAGAAAGAGAUAUACUGUGUUGGGUAGGUUUUUGUUGGCUCAAACAAGAGGGAACCUCAACUGGGAAAAUGCCUUCAUCAGAUUGCCCUGUAGGUACUUCUGCUGUGAAAGGACCUGGGAGACUUUGCAUUCUGCCACUUUCUGCUGUGAAAACACAUUGUCAAGGCAGCACUGGCUUGAAAACAAUCUAGCAAUAAAACCGUGCCCAGUUUUGAAGAUGGUGGCUUCUCUUUAGGUCAUGUGACGCCACAGCAUGCUCUGAAAAUCGACUGAGUACUUUAGGAGAUAAUCCAGGACAGACUUUGAAGCAGGAGCCAUCCCGUCACUAAUAGCUCCUUGGCAGAUGAUCCUUCCUUCUGGCUCUUCAGAAUUGGAUGUAGUAAUUGCUCUGGAAUUUAAAACUCAUCUGGGGAAUUCCUUGUCUUACAUUUAGGGCACAAACUGCUAAUGGCUCAGGCAUGUUGCGUGUGUGAGUGUGUGCUCACGCAUGCACCCAGCGUGGUGGCAGUGACCUGAGAAUCACAGUAUGUAUAAACAUGGCAUACUUUCACUG